GAUCAGAUAAAGGAAACUGUUCGUAAGCUGCUUACUUAAAAAGAAAGGAAAAGGUGCGUUUGAGUUCAGGAGACUGCGAGUCCCAGAGCAGGAGGCGGGAGCCAGCGAAGGGUGGGCGUGUAAGGGGUGCAGUCGCUUCUCCCGCUGGGCAAGAGACUCCCCCUUUCGGCAGCCUGGGUUCCCCGCCUCCCCACCUCCUGCUCCUCCUCCCCCGAGCCCUAAGGGCCCGCAGGGCCUCCAGUAGCAAAGCCACUGGCCCCGCGUCCCCGCGUCCCCCUGCGCCGCGCCCCGGGGCGCAGGCAGGGACCACGCGGCCGGCGUGGGGGCGGCGCCACCCGCAGCAGAAAGCCCCGGCGUGGACCGCGUGGCGUAGGAAAGCGCUCCCCUCGCCCCCAGCCGCAGAGGGCUUGGGCAGCAUCGGGCGCGGCCCCGGGAGAGUGCGUCCGCGGCGCCAGCGGCUGCAGGGUGACCUGUUUCGGGCGGGGACACUCACCAGAAGAACACGCGUGAGCAGAGGACCAAACGACGGUGCCAUGGGAGGCUCUUCAACCUGUGAGCCAAACAUUUGACCUUGGACGACAGCAAAGUUUAGCCACAGAUUAUCCUUGUAGAGCUGCAAGACCUCAAGAAAGCCGGGCUAGUCAAGUGAAGCAGUGGGAGUGGAAAAGGAGCAAAGAAAUCUGUAACUGGUUGUGAUUCCAUGAACUUUUUGAAAUCCCCUUGUAUUGGCUUCCUUCCCUCUUCUGUCUUACUUCUCUACUCCCUACAAGUGUUUUCUGGGAUCACCUCCAAAUAAACUACUUGCAAUCUAAUCCUGUCUCAAGUCUGCUGCUGUGGGAACCCAAACUAAGACACCUGCAAAAAAUAUCCUUCCAAUUACUGAAAAAUAUGUUCACUUGCACCCAUAAAAGUGUUUGCUAAUACCGUAGACCCUUGGCUGUACAAUAUGGUAGCAGUAUCCACAUGAGCAUUUUGGGACUUGAAAUGUGGCUGGUCCCAGUUGAGAUGUUCUGGAAGUAUAAAACACACUGACUUCAAAGACAGUGUCAAGAAAAAUGUGUUUAACGUCUCAUGAAUGAUUUUUUUUACAUGGAUUACAUGUUAAAAUGAUAAUAUUUGGACACAUUAGUUAAAAACAGAAAGUCAGCCCCCCAACAUUUCCAGGUAGAGAACCUAUCAAAGGAGACUGAAGUGAGAAGAAAAAUAGAGUCACAGAAGUGAAGAAAAUGUUUCAAGAAAGGAAAGCUGGAGCCCAUGCUUCUGAGAGGCUGGGAAAUUGAGGACAGAAGAGCAGCCACUGUAUUUAACAACGUGGGGACCUUUGGUGAAUUGAUCAAAUCAGUAUUUUAAAGAGAGGGAGACAGACCCUAAUUAAAAUAUAUUGAGGAGAGAAUGGAAUGUGAAGAUGUAAAGACAGAGGUUAUACACAACUUCUCUGAGAAAUGUUGCUGUGAGGAGAGAGAGAAAAUAUGUAAUUGUAGGAGAGAAAUCCUUGGGAAAGCAGUCCUCCACACCGUGGACUAUUCCAUAGCCAAUUUUAACAACAUAGGUGAUAGGGUUUGGCUCUGUGUCUCCAACCAAAUCUCAUCUCGAAUUGUGAUUGCCACAAUCCCCACAUGUUGAGGGAGAAACCCGAUGGGAGGUGAUUGGAUCGUGGAGGCAGUUGUUACCAUGAUAGUGAGUAUUUUAUAAAGGGCUCUUCCCCCUUCACUCCUUGCUCCCCUCUCUCCUGCCACAAUGUGAAGAAGGUCCUUUUUUCCCCACCUUCUGCCAUGACUGUAAGUUUCCUGAGGCCCCCUCAGCCAUGUGGAACUGUGAGUCAAUUAAAGCAUUUUCCUUUAUAAAUUACCCAGUCUCGGGUAUUUCUUUACAGCAGUGUGAGAAUGAACUAAUAUGAUGGGUGUAGUAGAUGUUGUCAGUGCCUGACCAGAACCCCCAGGCCCUUACCAUUUCACACUAGCCUGACUUCCGGCAUCUCUGCCUCAAAUCCUUCUGCUCCACCAGAGUUGGUUUAGCCCAAGUACAAGGCAGGCCAGGGAGUUAGUGUCUCCCUCUGCCCUCCUCCAGCAACAAUCAACUAAUAGAUAGACAAGAGCUGGUGUAUAAAUAACGGCACUCACUCACUCACUCCUCAGGUAACUGAGGUUUGCGUUUAUACUGUCUCCUAAAUUUCCUCAGCAGGAUUACUCUCCAGUAGCCCAGACUGGGACAUGUCUGAUGAUAUACCCUUUAUUGGCUUCAUUCCCUCCCCUGUCUCACUUCCCCA
rnacentral:lncRNA from 1 species